CUGGCUCAGAUUGAACGCUGGCGGCGUGCUAACACAUGCAAGUCGCGCGUGAAAGGACUUCGGUCCGAGUAAAGCGGCGCACGGGUGAGUAACGCGUGGAUGAUCUACCCAUGAGUUAGGAAUAACGGCUGGAAACGGUCGCUAAUACCAAAUACGCUCCGAUUUCAACUUCGGGGGAAAGGUGGCCUCUGCUUGCAAGCUACUGCUCAUGGAUGAGUCCGCGUCCCAUUAGCUAGUUGGUGGGGUAACGGCCCACCAAGGCGACGAUGGGUAGCCGGUCUGAGAGGAUGACCGGCCACACUGGGACUGGAACACGGCCCAGACUCCUACGGGAGGCAGCAGUGGGGAAUAUUGCGCAAUGGGCGAAAGCCUGACGCAGCGACGCCGCGUGAGGGAUGAAGGUCCUCGGAUCGUAAACCUCUGUCAGGAGGGAAGAACCGCCACGGUGCUAAUCAGCCGUGGUCUGACGGUACCUCCAAAGGAAGCACCGGCUAACUCCGUGCCAGCCGCUGC
rnacentral:rRNA from 1 species